ACGCAUUAAGUGCUCCGCCUGGGGAGUACGCACGCAAGUGUGAAACUCAAAGGAAUUGACGGGGACCCGCACAAGCAGCGGAGCAUGUGGUUUAAUUCGAAGCAACGCGAAGAACCUUACCAGGACUUGACAUCCCUCUGACAGUCCCUUAACCGGGAUCUCCCUUCGGGGCAGAGGAGACAGGUGGUGCAUGGUUGUCGUCAGCUCGUGUCGUGAGAUGUUGGGUUAAGUCCCGCAACGAGCGCAACCCUUGUCAUUAGUUGCCAGCAGUUCGGCUGGGCACUCUAGUGAGACUGCCGGGGAUAACUCGGAGGAAGGUGGGGAUGACGUCAAAUCAUCAUGCCCCUUAUGUUCUGGGCUACACACGUGCUACAAUGACUGGUACAAAGAGAAGCAAGACCGCGAGGUGGAGCAAAUCUCAAAAACCAGUCCCA
rnacentral:rRNA from 1 species